rnacentral:ribozyme from 1 species
AAAAGGUGGCCAUCAGCGGCUUCGCCAACACGGGCGCGUACGGCUUCCCGUCCGCCGAGGUCUUGCUC